rnacentral:lncRNA from 1 species
AUGCAUUAUCUGGAUGUCCUACUCCUUUCGUAAGAAAUUUCUCACAGCUAUCAUCCUAGCUGGGUCUCUUAAGAGCCAGAAGAAGGCGGACAACUAUAUCACACUCCACUCAAAGAUAUUAUCUUCAGCUUCAUGCCAAAAUCACAUUGUCCAAUUGCCGACCUCAUGGUCAGAUCCUAGCCAACGACUCUCGAAGAUCUAAAAAUGCUGAGCCAUUUCAAGGAGAACGUGGGCCGAUCCCACGUCCCUUAAAUAUUGAAUGGUUACAGCAGAACUUCCAACGGUUACAACAAGACG